GACCUCGGAUCAGGUAGGGAUACCCGCUGAACUUAAGCAUAUCAAUAAGCGGAGGAAAAGAAACCAACAGGGAUUGCCUUAGUAACGGCGAGUGAAGCGGCAACAGCUCAAAUUUGAAAUCUGGCGUCUUUGGCGUCCGAGUUGUAAUUUGCAGAGGGCGCUUUGGCGUUGGCAGCGGUCCAAGUUCCUUGGAACAGGACGUCACAGAGGGUGAGAAUCCCGUACGUGGUCGCUGGCCUUCGCCGUGUAAAGCCCCUUCGACGAGUCGAGUUGUUUGGGAAUGCAGCUCUAAAUGGGAGGUAAAUUUCUCCUAAAGCUAAAUACCGGCCAGAGACCGAUAGCGCACAAGUAGAGUGAUCGAAAGAUGAAAAGCACUUUGGAAAGAGAGUCAAACAGCACGUGAAAUUGUUAAAAGGGAAGCGCUUGCAGCCAGACUUGCCUGUAGUUGCUCAUCCGGACUUUUGUCCGGUGCACUCUUCUAUAGGCAGGCCAGCAUCAGUUUGGGCGGUUGGAUAAAGG
rnacentral:rRNA from 18 species